UGAGGAAUAUUGGUCAAUGGGCGGAAGCCUGAACCAGCCAUGCCGCGUGCGGGAAGAAGGCGCUACGCGUCGUAAACCGCUUUUGUCUGGGGGUAACCGCAGGGACGUGUCCCUGCCUGCAAGUACCAGACGAAUAAGGGUCGGCUAACUCCGUGCCAGCAGCCGCGGUAAUACGGAGGACCCAAGCGUUAUCCGGAUUCAUUGGGUUUAAAGGGUGCGUAGGCGGCCCGGUAAGUCAGCGGUGAAAGGCUCCUGCUCCACAGGAGAGCUGCCGUUGAUACUGCUGGGCUAGAAUCUUAGCGAGGCGGGCGGAAUGCGCGGUGUAGCGGUGAAAUGCAUAGAUAUCGCGCAGAACGCCGAUUGGGGAGCCAGCUCGCCAGCUGAGUAUUGACGCUGAGGCACGAAAGCGUGGGGAUCGAACA
rnacentral:rRNA from 1 species